UUAAUACCGCAUAAUAUCACUUGAUGGCAUCUGAAGGUGAUUAAAGCUACGGCGAUAAAAGAUGGGCAUGCGUGACAUUAGCUAGUUGGUUGAGGUAACGGCUCACCAAGGCGACGAUGUCUAGGGGUUCUGAGAGGAUGAUCCCCCACACUGGUACUGAGAUACGGACCAGACUCCUACGGGAGGCAGCAGUAGGGAAUAUUGGGCAAUGGACGCAAGUCUGACCCAGCCAUGCCGCGUGCAGGAUGAAGGCCUUCUGGGUUGUAAACUGCUUUUAUCUAGGAAGAAAAAACUCUUGCUAGAGGAACUGACGGUACUAGAUGAGUAAGCACCGGCUAACUCCGUGCCAGCAGCCGCGGUAAUACGGAGGGUGCAAGCGUUGUCCGGAUUUAUUGGGUUU
rnacentral:rRNA from 1 species